CCUACGGGGGCAGCAGUGGGGAAUAUUGCACAAUGGGGGAAACCCUGAUGCAGCGACGCCGCGUGAGCGAGGAAGGCCUUCGGGUCGUAAAGCUCGGUCCUAAGGGAAGAAUACUGACGGUACCUUAGGGGAAAGCCCCGGCUAACUACGUGCCAGCAGCCGCGGUAAUACGUAGGGGGCUAGCGUUCUACGGAAUUACUGGGCGUAAAGGGUGCGUAGGCAGCCCUUCAAGUCAGAGGUGAAAGGCUACGGCUCAACCGUAGUAAGGCUUUGAAACUGUAGGGCUUGAGUGCAGGAGUGGUGAGUGGAAUUCCCUGCGUAGAGGUGCAGUGCGUAGCUAGUGGCAGGAACACCAGUUGAGACGGCGGCUCUAUCGACUGUAACUGACGCUGAUGUAUGAACGCGUGGGGGGCGAACAGGAUUAGAUACCCGGGUAGCC
rnacentral:rRNA from 1 species